CUUCUUCUUCUUCUUCUUCUUCUUCUUCUUCUUCUUCUUUUUUCUUCUUCUUCUUGUCUUAUUGUAUUAGUGAAGACUUCUAGUACAAUCAGUGGUAAGAGGGAACAUCUUUGUCUUCAUCCUGAUUUAGGGGAAAAGUUUCUGUUUUCUAACCAUUAUAAAUGAUGUUAGCUGUAGGCUUUUUGUAAAGGUACUUUAUCAAGUUGAGGGAAGUUUCUUUCUAUUCCUAGUUUGCCAAGGUUUUUUUUUUUUUUUUUGGUCAUGAAUGGGUGUUGGAUUUUAUCAAAUGUUUUUUAUGCAUCUAUUGAUAUAAUCAUGUGAUUUUUUGUUGUUCUUUAGCCUGUUGAUGUAGUUAAACCAUUGGUUGACUUUUGUUUAUUGAAUAAGCCUGCACACCUGGAAUGAAUCCCACUUAAUUAUAGUGUAUAAUUCUUUUAAAAUGUUCAAUUUGAUUUGCUAAUUUUUUUUGCACUUGCUGUGCUAGGGAUUGAACCCAAGGUUUUACCACCAAACUACAUUCCCAGCCCUGGUUUGCUAAUAUUUUAUUGAAGAGUUUACAUCUACAUUCAUGAGAGAUAUACUGGUAUGCUAUUUUUCCUUUAUGGUGAUGCCCCUGUCUGGUUUGAGUAUUAGAAUCAUGCUGGCCUUAUAGAAUGAGUUAGGAAGCAUUUCCCCUGCUUCUGUGUUCUACUUCUUCUAGAUUAUAGUGCAUCGAUAUUCUUUCCUCCAUAGCUAUUUGGUAGAAUUCACUAGUGAAACCAUCUGUGCCUGGUGCUUUUCUUAUUGGAACAUUAUUAGUUAUUGAUUCAAUGUCUUUAAUAGAUAUAGGCCUUUGCAGAUUCUUUAUUUCUCCUGUGUGAAUGUUGUUAGUUUGUAUCUUUCAAAAAUUUGUCCUUUUCAUUGAAGUUAUCAAAUUUGUGGACCUAGAGUGGUUUGUAGUAUUCCUUGACUGCCCUUUAUUUUUAUUUUUAUUGGUACUGGGGAUCGAACUCGGGUCCUUGUGUUUGCGGAGCAGGCGGCGGCACCACUGAGCUAAAUCCCCGGCCCUCUUGAUUGUCCUUUAAAUGUCUAUGGGGUCAGUUGUGAUCAUUCUUUUCAUUUUUGAUAUUGGUAAUUUGUGUCUUCUUUUUUCCUUGGUCAGUCUGAGUAAGAAUUUUUCAAUUUAAUUGAUUCGUUUUCAAAGCCCUAGCUUUUGGUUUUGCUGUUUCAUUAUUGUUUUUCUGUUUUGGAUUUUGACAACAGCUCUAAUUUUUCUUUCUUUUCUUUUCUUUCUUUUCAUUGCUUUGCUUUGCUUUAGGCUUAAACUGUUCUUCUUUUCUAGUUUCCUGAAAGAAGAGGCUUUUUGACACUUAAGCUGGCUAUGCUAGUCUAGCUCCUCUGAGAAAUGGAUACCAAGUUGGAAGGAAACAUCUUUCUUUGGAGAAACAUCUGUGAAAGGAGAUGAGGAAGGCUCCCUCAGAAUGCUGGGGAAGUGGCCAGACCUUUCUGCAAGGCUGGGCUGGAGUGAAGAAGAAAGGGAGGGAAGAUUAGGCUCUGGGAGGGGUGUCAGGGAGUCAUCUAGCCCAAGAUGGCUGUUAGAGAGUUCAGUGUCUCUUAGGAGAAGGCCUGCUGGGAUCUGUCAAUGGUGGAUGCCUCCCUUGGAAAGCAUGGUCUUAGCAUGAAUGCGGAAGUGGAUUCCAGAGCAGAGCAAGUGGGACCUUUGGACAGUUGUGCAGACUGAGUGUGGGAUGUCUGAGAGAUGUAUGUCCAUGGCCACCAUUCCAGGUCUUGAAAGAGGGAGAGGAGGAGGCAGAGGGCUUCACAGGUGUGAAAGAACUCAGCAUGUUUGAAACAGGAAGUCUAUUGGUGAUAGACUGGGCUAAGUGACAGGAGGGACAAGGGAUUGGUGUGAGGUAGGCCUUAGAUAAUAGCUCCAGUGCCAGCAGCUGGGGAAGUUCCUUAUGGAUCAUGGUAAAAAAUUUGGAUUUUAUCCUGAAGAGGCUACUGAGGAGUUUUAAGCAAGUGAGCGACAGGAUUAGAUUAGCUUACAUUAGAUUUAUUUCUAGGAGGAGGAUUCUGGAAGAUUGAGUAGAGAAGGAGCGGAGGCAGGUGAGACAGUGUGGAGAGGAGAAAAUGGCCUUUAUCUAAUGAGAGAUGAUGAGAGUCCACAUCAGUACACAGUGAUGCAGCCAGCCCAGACCCAGGAUUUCUUUAGGAGGUAGGGCUGAUAUGGUGUAGAACAGGUGUUAUGACUUGUGCUUAGGUGUCCUCCCAAAACUUACGCAGUAAGAGGUGGGGCUUUUUCAGAGGUGGCUGGAUCUAGAGUGUGUGAUGCUGGGAUUGAUUCAUGGUGUAACGGUAGGCUCAAGGGCACUAGGAUUAAGGGUGUGAGUGCUAUCUGCCCUUGGUAGCCUGGAUAAGAUAUAAGGGAUAGAAAGAGGUGUUGUGGUUUGCUACCUUCUGCCCACCAUGAGCUGUUUCUCCUUUGUAAUGUCCUUGUGCUAUGCCACCCUGCCUUGAAGCCAGCCAAUUAUGGAUUAAAACCUCUAUGAACUGUGAGCUAAAUAAACCUUUCAUCCUUUAACUUUCAGUUUUUGUCUCAGCAAUGAGAAAAGUAACUAAGCUGAAAAAGUGCAAAAUGAGCCCCAGAAAUUGGAUUUAGGGGACCCAGGGAGAGAGGAAGGAUUCAUAAAGAGAAUUAUAAGCAGGUAUGGGGAGGAAAUCAAGAGUUUGGUCAACUGGGGACAUGGAGUUCCUUCUAUGUCCCUGGCAUUUGGAUACUUGGGUCUGGGACUCAGAGUCAUUGCCUGGACCAUAUAUAAAUGGAGUAUGGGUGCACUCUAAAGCCAUAUGCCUGAGAUCACCUGAUCAUACGACAUAGCUUUAGAGGCAUAGGUGGCCAAAUUCUGAACUCCGUGGAACCCCACAGUGGAGAUGAAUGAAAGAAGAGGAACCGGGUCAGGAGACUGAGGAAUGGUUAGUCAAUGGGAGAAUUGAAAGAGUGGUGCCCUCAAAGUCCAGGGAGGGGAGGACUCUGAGGAGAGGGUAGCCAACAGUGUCAAUUACACCUAUAGGAAGCCAAGCAUGGUGGUGUGUGCCUAUAAUCCCAGUACGCUGGGAGGCUGAGUCAGGAAGAUGGCAUGCUUGAGCCCAGCCUGAGCAACUUAGUGAGAACUUGCCUCAAAAAAUGAAAAGGGCUAGGGGCAUAGCUUAGUGUGAAGAACCUGGGUUCAAAUCUCAGUAACCCCUCACCCUCCAAAAAAACCUACUCUAAGGGAGUCCUCACCUUUAGAAACUCAGAAUGUGACCUUAUUUGGAAAUAGGGUCACUGCAGAUGUCAUUAAAUUAGGAUGAAGUCAUACUGGAGAGGGGUGGGCUCCUAGUCCAGUAUGCUGCUGUUCUUUGAUGAGGAGAAGAGGCAGACAAGGAGGGAGGAAUUCCACGUGCCAGUGGGGGAGGAUGUUGGAGUUGUGCAGCUGGAAGCCAAGGAACACCAGGAUUGUUGGCAAACACAGGAGGGAAAAGAAAGGAAAGGACCAACAGAUCAUUCUCUAGCUCCUUCAGAGAGAGCAUGGCCCUGCUGACACCUUAAUUGCAGACUUCUAGCCUCUUAAACAGUAAGAGGAUACAUUUCUAUUAUUCUAAGCCACCUAGUUUGUGGCAAUCUGUUAUAGCACCCUCUAGAAAACUAACAUGCAAAGUUGAGGAACCAUCAUUUUGCUGCAAACACAGGGAGGGGAGUGCUCUAAGAUGGAGGGUGAUACAGUGUAGGGUUGCACUAACACAUUUAGAUAGAGAUGAGGAGAAAGGUAUCAUCCAGGGAUCCAACCAUUUGAAGAUCUACCUGGGGUCAGAUGAUCUGCUCCUACUACAGCUCGUGCACCUAGAACUCCCCAUAAAAUCUGGAGCAGUGGUGGUAAACCUAUGGCACUCGUGCCAUGGCCGGCUGUUUGUUAUCAUUCAAAGCUCUAAAAGGUUUGCCAUCACUGAUCUGGAGUGUCUUCACUAUGUGGCUCCCCCAGAGCAAGUCAUCCAAGAGAGAUACCAAGGUAGAAAUCUCAAUGCUUUUUUUGACCUAACCUUGGUAGUCAUACACCAUCACUUCUACCAUAUUCUAUUAUCAUACAAACCAACUUCAAUUCAGUAAGAGGGACUACUCGAGGGUGUGAGUGCCAAGGAGCCAGGGUUAUUCAGGGCCGUAUUGGAGGCCGGCUCCCACACCACCUAUAUUGCUGACCCCCACCUCCAUGUUGGUUGCAGUUUUGCCCCCACUCUGUGAGCAUCAGACCUUUAGAGUUAAGAUAUCCUCUGGCCAUCAUUUUUUGGAGCACCUCUAGGGCAAUGCAUCUGAAACUGCUCUUUUUGUUCCAUUUCCAAGCCAGAUUCUUUCUCUAAUAAUAUCUUAGAGGCCCCGCCAGUGACUCAAACACCAAGCUAGACCUUGGGAUCAUGUAUGCUUACUCUCCUUCACCAUCUCUCCCGUCCGAACCAUCACAAGUUCUGUCAACUUAACUUUCUGAAUAUCUUUGAAAUCUAUUGUCUUUUCUCUAUAUUUAUUUUCACAGCCUUUUUAAAUGAAAGUUAGCAACUCUUAGUUGGAUCACUGUAACAGACUCCAAACUAUUGGCUCAACAUACAGCUCUCUUAACCCAAGAACUGUGAAGGAUCUGAGAUUUUACUCCAUUUGCAAACUGACAAGUCAGCCUGGGUGCUAUCAGCAUCCUGGAUAAGAGUUUAGAACUACUGGCCUACCAUGUUGCACAAAUUUCACAUUCUGUUCAGUUCCUCUUACUCUGUGAGUCCCACAGAGGGAACAUAGAGUGACCCAGAUGAAUGCUACACCUGUAUAUAGUGAAGUUCUGCCUCAGUCAAGAAACCCCAAGCUUAGGGAACCUGAAUCUUUCGUAUGGGGUGCAAGCAAAGCUGCCUGCCCUGUGGUUCAUGGAGUUGCCUUCUAUUUUCUAAAAAUGCUUGCUACAUGAACAUCUUUGAAGAAAUAAUCCAGGAAGGGCAGUUAGUACCUCACAUACAAGACAUGCAGAAAAGUGAGAAACUCAGGGAGAACUGCCUCCCCACAACAGCCAAAAUUCAAAGCAGGUCACCACCAAUGGCUCUCCAAACCUGUGAGAUAAAGCCAAGUUCCUUGCUUGGCACUGCCCUCUCUGCUGGCCUCAUGGCUCACUCUCCCUGCCCUACAACAGAAAUCUGAAAUAAACAGAAGUCCCUCAAAGAGUCUGUGUUCAUUGUGGCCUCCAGGUCUUUGCUCAGCUCACCUUAUUUGCCUGAAUUUCCCUAUUCCUUUCUUCAAAAUCACUCAUUCUGUGCCCUGUGACACGGCUACCUUUUGAGGAUCACAUGUAUUCUGGGGGUUGCUGGGUUUGUCUUUGGGGACAUGAGUCUAGCAAACCUUACUCUUUAUUGGACUAAUAUUUACCACUUGCCACUGUUUCCUUUUUUCUCUACAUAGAACUGUCCUUUAUGUGGUAAAGGCACAUCAUGUUUCAGUAAAAUUUCACCCUUCUGUGACAGGGUCGGGUAAAGACCUAAUUUCUAUUCUCACUCCUGGUUCUAGUUUGCUUUUUGGCUGUGCUGUCUCCCCAGCAGGGCUGGAGGAACUCAAUUCAGAACCAGGCUUUCUCUGUGUCUGAUCAUCUUCACUGUACCAAAGUGAAAGUUGACUAACCAAAUAGUCAUCCAUUCCAUAGCUUUGUACAUCUCUACCUGGAAUGGGGGCCCAGGGCAUAAUUGAGCAAUGCCAUGGUUUAAGCAGGCCCUUUGAAAGUUCAUGUUUUGGGAACUUAAUUCCUCAAUGUAGGGAGACGAAGCCUGGUGGGAAGUAUUUGGGCCAUGUGGUUGGAGCCCUUAUGAAUGGAUUAAGACUUUCUCACCAGAAUGAGUUUUUCCACCAUGAGUUGAAGCAUCAUGAGACCUCUACGAAAAGUGGCUAGACUUUUUUCUUUAUAAGUUACCUAGUCUCAAGUAUUCUGCAGCAACAGGAGAAAAUAGACUAAGACACUAUCUAUUUCCACUUCUCUUCCCCACCAGACCUGAAUAGAAUGUGUUGUGAGAACAACAUAACUUGGGGUGAGACAGCUUUCAGGAAUGCUAUGAAAAAACUGCUAAUUCAUUCCAGAAAUAAGUUCUGGUGGUCAUUCCAUCUUAUUUUGAGAAUUAUGAGUUUUAAAAGAACUGUAAAGAAUGCUGACUUCAUCUAACUCCUCUUAUAUUGCCCAUUUUUGUUUUUACCUCUGUUUUAUGUGAAAUGAAGUUAAGAGCAUAAAUAAGCCACCAACCUGGCUCUGAGUAAAGAGAACUAAUGGAGAAAUAACAUUAAGAUCAUCAUGCACUGGUGCUGUGGGCAUCAACCUUUUUGGAACCAGGGACUGGUUUUGUGGAAGACAAUUUUUGUGUGGACUAGGGUGGGGAAGUUCAGUUUUUUAUUUUAUUAGUAUAUGCUUGGGGUAUGCAAGAAUCACAUUCCCCAGCACUAGCAUCACUGUCUCAGCUCCACAUUAGAUCAUCAGCCAUUAGAUUCUCAUAAGAAGCAUACAACCUGAAUUCCUUUCAUGUGCAGCUCACUAGAGGGUUCAUGCUUAUGUGAGAAUCUAAUGCCACUGCUGACCUGACAGGGCCAGAGCUCUGUUGGUAUUGUGAGUGAUAAGGAGCUGCUGUGAACACAGAUGAAGCUUUCAUUAUGAUUUAUGUCUAGAUGUCCCCUCCCCCCAAAGUCUCAUAUGCUGCUAGGUGGGAGUUCUGGGAGGUGGUUGGAUCUAGGGUGUGUGAUGCUGGGAUUAAGGGGGUGUGAUUACUAAAUUAGUCCACUGAUUGGUAUAGCAUACCUCUCGGUGUAGGUAAUGGGAAGGCCUCCCUGGGUGUGAGAGGCACCACCCAAAAGGCGAGUAGUCUGGAUGAAUAUAAAGGGAUAGAAAGAAGGCAGGCCUGCUGCUGCUGCUGCUGCUUUCUUGCUGCUUCACUGUCUCCUGCUUGCUUGCCAUGUACUGUUUCUCUUCUGUGAUAUCCCUUUUCCAUGCCACCCUGCCUUGGAGCCAGCUAACUAUGGAAUGAAACCUCUAUAAACUGUGAGCUGAAAUAAACCUUUCCUCUUUUAACUUUGGGUGUCAGAUAUAUUGUCCCAGCAAUGAGAAAAGUAACCAAGACAGAGUUGCUCAUGUGCCCUCUGCUCAUCGUCCACUAUGUUGCCAGAUUCCUAACAGGCUGAGAACCAGGACUGGCUGGGGACCCCUGCAUUGGUGAAACAUGUAUGCAAAUGCCAUGUGAGACAUCCCAUUGUGAAGGUAAAAUUAAAAAGAAGAUUCCCAUUUGGCAUUUUCUUUUUGUUGUGUGUCACCUUUUCAGGUAUCUGCCCAGCUGGCAAUGACCCUUACUGGAGACUCUUGAUCAAUGAGACCUAUAGAGUUGGGCUCCUAGUCACUUUGUUUAUGGAACAUAAUUCUGACCCUCUUCUCUCACCCUACAGAUCUCUUAUUCAUUGGCUUUUAUAUCCCAACCACUAACUACAGUGCUUGGAACAUUUUGAGUGGCUGAAAAAUAUUUGGUGAAUUGAUGAUAUUGAGGAUUGGGAGUAAUGGAGAGAUUCCUCCUGUGCUUGAAGGUGGAAUUAUAAUAUGUGGGCCCCAGGGCUGUGAACAGUUGCAUCCAUCAUGGGGACUGUGGAUCAGCUGUGUUAGUCUACUUUCCAUCACUAUAACAAAUACCUGAGACAAUCAACUCAUAAAGAGAAAAGCUUUAUUUUGGCUCACAGUUCUGGAGACUCCCAUCCAUUACUGGUUAGCAUGUGACAUGACUACUUUGAACAUGUGGCAAGGCAACACAUCAUGACAGCAGUUCAUGGUGGAGCAAAACCACUCACCUUGAGACCAGAGAGCAACAAGAGAAGAAGAGGAAGGGGCUAGCAUCCCAUAAUCCUGUUCAAGGGCACACCCCAAUCACCUAACAACUUCCCUCUUGGGUCUACCUCUUAAAGUUCCACCACUUCAAAUGGAGACUUGGGAUCAAGCCUUUACCACACUGGCCUUUGGGACGUGCUCCAGAUCCAAACUAUAGCAGCAGGGAAAUAGAGAAUUCUGGAGAGGGGAACUUGGGCUUACUCUCACUUGUUCUCUUGUUCCUGAUAGCAGAACUUUCACAGACCAAGCUGCAGACCUCUAUAUUUGAAUAAAUUCCUUUGUUUGUUGUUGGGGACUAGGCUACCUAACUUAGAUCCCACAGUCUCAAGUUCAGUAUUAUCUUGCCUUGAGAACAGGGAAGUAUGUGGAAGGUUGGAUGCUCCCUGGCUAUGGGCAGAAUGCUGAUAACUUGGCACUCCUGAGGCAAGACAGUAUCUGCUGAGGACAGUUGUCAAUAUACAGGCAUUUGGGUGUAGAGAAAAUCUGGUUCAUCAUUAAUUUAAUCCUUAUCCAUCCAUUCCCUAUAGUUGCUGUUCCAUGAAACUCAUGCUACCCCUCUCUCUGUACUUUCCACUGGCUAAUAAAAGUGGGCCACUGCAGAGUUUUAUUGGAAUCUGUCUGCUUGAGGCAGGUUUCCUCCCUGUCCCCCCUUUAAUAUCUUGGAAACUGUCACCGUCUUUUUAUUCCUCAAUGUUCCCUCCAAAAGGUAGCUGAAGUUCUGACCAGCCCUCAGUACUUUGUGUUUAAACUAGGUCCAGGAUGUUAGUCCAAAAUAACACAGAAAGUCUAAGUAUGACUGACAGAGGAGUGAGCCAUUCACUACUAGUGGCCAUGGAGCUAAGACAACCUGUGUCCCAAGAGAAAUUUAGCAGUGUGAUAGCCACAGCCCACCUCUUUCUCUCCCAUCUGUCUGAACUCAGAAGUGUGUUCUGACAGUGGUGCAUGGUCACUGGCUUAGCAUGCUGGGUGGAGGGGAGCACGACAUAGUUAAAACAAUGAAACCCUGUUCUUCACGAAGAUCUUUGAUAAUGUUAUACAGGAAAUAUCAUGGAGCCCAUGUUAGUGCACUAAAAGCAUGGCCUCAGGUGAAAUUUUUUUGUUCUACUACCUCAAAGUCUAGGCAAAUGAAUACCUUUCCUCAUCACCAUAGCAUCACAGAGGAACUUAGAGAGAUUAUAGCAGGGUUAGAGCAGAAAAUUGGGCAAGCUGCAAAAUCAUGGAUGCAGACUAUGACCCUGCUAAUCAGUCAUGGGUGGAAGGUCUUUCUGUAAAGGAUAUUGUAAGUGCAGGGAAUGCCCUAUGUUCUGUGUUAUUAAGAAGCGACUUAUAAGAGAUACAGCUGAUGAUGUUUCAGUAUUUCAACUCUGAACUCUGAGUAUUUACAAGACGAUUCAUAAUUUUCUGCAGUUAAUAUUAAACAUGCCACUAAAAGGCAGCACAGAAUGGUGGUGAACACAAAGAAUUCAGAUGACAUAAGAGAAUACCAGACAAAGCCGGGACCCAGGCAUUUCCCCCGGCCACACCCUAUUUAAUAUUUCACCAAUACUAAUGAGAAGCUGUGACAGUGGCUGGUUGCAAAGCCACUCUAUAAUAUCAGCCAACCUUGCAGUCUCAGGGCACACAGCAGCUCAGGAUUAUUCUUCAACCCUGAUUGCUGUGGAUUCAGCUGUAGUUCCACCCUCCUCAUCCCGCUAUUCAUCCUUCCCUCUCAGGUCCAGAUUCCAGGAGCAGUUCCUGUUUGGGACACACUGUUCUCAUACAGAGGGCAGAGCCAAUGUGAAUCCCUGUUCACUGAAGCAUUCCCACUACCUACUCUCAUUUAAUUGGCCCAAACAAGUCACAUGCCCACGCCCAACUUCAGUGAGGGAGGAAGUUCAAUCUCCCAGGGGCAGACCCCUAAGUUUGGUUGAGUCAGAAAGGGGAGGAAUAUUUUGACAGUAAUACAAUAUAGGAGAGAUAAGGCUGCAUUUCCAGAACUGCAUCUUCUAUUUAUGGGAGUCUAACCUAUGCAUAAAUGUUUAAGUUAAUUUUGAACCUCAGUUCAAAAUGUGGGCUCCAUCAUUUCUAAUGAUUCCUUUUGUGGCACUCACAAUUUUGGGUAUUACAGGAUGCCCUCUCUCAGGCAUUAAUCAAACCAUAGGAUGGGUCUGAUAAAUCCCAACUGGCAGCUGCAGGCAGAAUUCUGAAAGUGGGAAAAUGAUUUCAGUGGUGUAAGUGUGGCCAGCCUGUGGCAGAAUGACCUGGAGUGCAGGUGAACAUGCAGAUUUCUGGGCUCUGCCUUAGCGUGCUCCACUCCUGUCAGAGCACAGGCCUGGAGCUCUGGUUCUCAGGGCUGCCAUAAGCAAGGCGGUGUGGACUUUCACAUGCUCUGCCAUGAGUCCAGCUAGAGUGUGAGGUUUCCUGGAAGAUCUGGGAGAAGGAAGUAUUACUAUGGAAUGGUUUCUAAUGAGGGCCUCUAUCCUUCCUUCAAAUACGUAUUAGUUUACAUACUUUACUAUUUUUCUUGUAAAUCAACAUCUGUGAAUCAUUUUGUCUAUUUUUAGAAAUAAAAUGUGACUACAUUGAACAAUGUUCUCAUUAAAAAAAGUUUUCUUACAACAGUAACAAUUUUUUAAAACAUAUAUUUUUAACUACUUUUCCUCAACAAUGGACAUUUGGAAACAAAUCUGGGAUGAAAAUGUAAGUUUCCAAGCCUGAUUUUUUUGUUUUUUUGUGAGGUUGCAUUUGAUUAAAUGUUUCAGUUAUUGAUCUCUAGGAUGUAAAAGUUUAUAUUCUGACUGGGCUCUGCUUUUGAUUUUUCAGGGUUGUUUUAAGAGAAAGACCACAGUGUCCCAUGCAGGAUGGUUUAGUUUUAGAGUUCUAUUGUGACAACCUCUGCAGCUGCCCAGGUCAUUAAAUUCAGUACACUUCUGCUUUCAACUAAAAGUUUCCUGGCCUUGCAUUGCUGUGACUGGGCCUGGUCUAGCAGCCUGGUGGCAUUAGCUUCCAGCUCACAUCAGGAUGGUUCCAGCCCCUUUUGGUGUGAGUCAGAAAGAAUGAUGUGCUGAGGUGAAAAUACUCCUAUCCCCAGACUCCUCUAUAUGGGAGCAGCCAUGCCACCCAGUUCUGGCCAGUGAUAUUGCAACAAUCUGUGAAAUGGGGCUUCUGAUGAAAAUGGACAGUUAGUACUGAAGAUUGAACCCAGGACCUUUGCAUUGAACUUCAUCCCCAGCCUCCUCCAGUGCCAAGCCUGGUGCCCAGCACAGUGCAGCUCUGUUGAUCACAAUGGAGUGAGCUGAGCUGCACACGAUGACCUCUCUGGCAGGACGCUGGCGUGGAGGGAAAAGAAGCCCAGAGCAAAUUCCAGCCCUGGCCUGCAGCUCAGAUUUGACCUCCCUCUACUUUUCUCAACACUAAUCCCAGGCCCGUGUUAUGAUAAACUACUUGCUCCUUGUUCAGCAGUACAUUCAGGAACUGGACAGCCGCCAAGGAAAACACAGGGGCAGUGGUGGACUAUUGAAAUAAAUGAGUAGCCUAUGAUAAAUAUAGGAAAAACAGUGUUAGUUAAUACACUUAUGCGCCAACAAAAUCACAUACUAUUUAAUAGGGGGAGGAGUUUUAACAUGAAUGCGUAUGGCUUUAUGUAACAAGGUUGAUUUAAAAAAGAAAAGACAACAAAUAAUCUACAACCUUUUUAGCCAAGUAAAUGCUGGUUCUUCAAAGUCAGUAUUAGUGUGGUGGGAAACAUCAGUUGCCUAAAACAGCUCUAUUAUUCUUGAUGGAGGUCUUCAGAGCUGGAAUAGGAGGAAAAUUAGAUACAUUACUUGAUAAUUUAGCUUUUUGGUUUCAAGUCCCAAAUGGUAUCAACCAACUUGAUUACUGGCCUGGUUCACUAGACUUGGCUCUGAAUUAUUUUUAACAGUUUCCAGGAAUUAAAUCCACCUUAAAAACAAAACAAAACAAAACCAAAAAACCUCACACAAAUCUUGCUAUUUCUCAGGCAUGAAAAAAAGGUCUUGUAAGUUCUGGUGUUCCUAAGGGAGGUUCCCAAACUCCCUUUUUCUGAGCAGGAAAAAUCCCUUUGUUGACCUCACAGGUGAUUUCUGCAAAUGUGCAAGUUUUGAUUUCUUUGUUUGAAGAUCUGUCAUGUCAUCUUAGGCUCAGCCUUCCUCCUUAUUCACACUCUGCAGACUGUCAUCAGGUUUGGUCUGCACAAAAUAGUUGACCUGCAUCAAGGAAUUUAAAUUUUGAAUACCAGACCAGCCAUGACAUUCAGAUCAGUGGGAGACUUUGCAAAUCAAUAUGCAAACCUGAGCAGCCCACAUGGGUGUCUCCCCAACUGGCUCUCAGCAGGAGGCACAGGUUAUGCAAUAACUGAACUCAGCCUGCUUUCCUUCCAACUCAGCAUAAAUCGCUUGUGUGCAGGCGUGAUGGUGCCAAGCCCAGCAGCGAAGGCUAAUUGAGAACCUCGAUGUCUGCCUUCCUGACAGUAGAAAGCUUCGACCUGCUUCCAGGUGACAGUACACACACUUCCAGCAUGAACUCAAAACCCCAGCUGUCUCACCUGUAGAAAAUGACAUGUGCAUAUUACUUUUUUAAUAGGAUUAUUUGCAAAAGAUUAUACACAACAUAAAUCUCCAUCAAUAGGGGCCUCGACCAAUGUAUUAUGGAGUAGAAUAUAUGCAGAUGCAUAGGUAUGUGUAUGCACACAUUUGACAGUUAGUUUUAUAUGUUAUUUUGGUUGAUAUAUCCAAGGGAUGUCCAAGUGGCUAGUAAAAUGUUACUUCUGGAUUUGUCUCAGAGAGUGUUUCUGGGAGAAAAUUGCAUUUGAACUGAUGGACUGAGUAAGAACAUCUGUCCUCACCAGUGUGGGCAGGCACAUUCAAACUACUGAGGGCCUGAAUAGAACAAAAAGAUAGAUGAAGGACAAAUUUCCUUUGCUUUAGCUGGGAUACACUUCUUAUCUUGCCCUUAGACAUUCUCGGGCCUUUGGAACUGGACUGAAAGUGCCAGAUGUGGACUGGAAGUACAGCUCUUUUUUUGUUUCUUUGUUUAAGCAACAUAUUCUCUCGCAGUUCUGUAGGCUGGAAUCUAAGAUCGAGUUGUCUUCUGAGACUCCUCACCUGGGCUUGCAGAUGUGGGUCUUCUCCCUGUGUCCACACUUGCUCUUCCCUCUGUGUGCCUGUGUCCUCAACUCCUCUUUUUCUCAGGGCAGUUGUCAUUUUGGAUUAAAGCUCACUCUAAUGGCUUCAUUUUAAAGGAAGUCCCUCUUUAUAGGGCAAAUCUCCAGAGAGAGCCACAUUCUAAAGUAUGAGGUUUGGGCCAGGUAUUUAGCUCAGUGGUUCUGCCACCUGCCUCACAAGUGUAAGGUCCUGAGUUUGAUCCCCGGUAACAAAAAAAAAAUUUUUUAAUAAAAAAAAUAAAGUAUGAGGUUUAACAUCCUUUAGCUAAAAUGCUUGGGAUCAGAGGCAUUUUGAAUUUUUUUCUCAGAUUUUGGAAUAUUUACAUAUAUGUAAUUUGAUACCUUGGCGGAUAGAACUCAAAUCUAAACAAACGAAUCUGUAUCUCAUGUACAUCUUAUGCAUCCAGCCUGAAUGUAACUUUAUACAAUAUUUUCAGGGUAACUACACCUGGCCUGACCUGUCCUAUGAGGUGAGGCAUGGAGUGUUCUGCUUGUGGUAUCACAUCAGCACCCCCUAAAAAUUUCAGAGCCCUUCCUGGGCCUCUAGCUCACAGAUGGCAGGUGGUGGCACUUGUUGGCCUCCAUAAUCACACGAACCAAUCUUUCAUAAUAAACCUCUUCCUAUGUACCAUAUCUACGCAUAUCCUCUUUGUUUUUCUGAAGAAUUCUGUAAUACACAUAUAUGCAUAAGUUCCAUGUAUGCAAAUAUCUCCAAGAGAUGUUAAGUAAAAAGGAAAGUUGAAGAAUAGUAUGUGUAGUAUGCUACUAAGUUUUUCAUAUGUGUGAAAAACUCUGGAAGGAUCUUCAAGAAAUAAAUUCUGUUGGCUUGUGGGUAAAGAAGCUCAGUGGCUGAGGGACAGACGCAGAAGAAAGAUUCAGCAAUUUUAAAUACUACUUGAACUUGAAAUCAUAUGAAUGUAUAGCCCAUAAAAAUAGUUGCCUUAAAAAUAAAUGACACAUAUCAAUUGACAGAUGAGUAGAUAAAUAAAAUAUGGUAUAUGUGUAUGUGUGUGUGUGUGAUGUGUGUGUGUUCAUCCCUUUAAAAAAUGAAAUUCGUACAUGUGCUGCAACUUGGAUAAACCUUGAAGACUGUAUGCUAAGUGAAAUAAGGUGGAUGUAAAAGGAAAAACAAGGCAUGAUUUCACUUACAUGAGAUACUUAGUAGAGUCAAAUUUACAGAAACAAAGCAAAAUGGUGGUUGCCAAGGCUUGAGGAAGGCAGGAAUGAGGAGUUAUCAUUUAAUGGGUAGAGAGUAUUAGUUUUGCAAGAUCUAAAGGAUUUUGGAGAUUACAUGUACAAUAGUGUAAAUGAUUUUGUCAUUCUACACAAGGAACACCCUAGUUGCAGUCACCUAGAGGAUGUGUUAGAGCAAGGGUCCCCAAACCCCAGGGCCACAGACUGAUACUGGUCCAUAGCCUGUUAGGAACUGAAUCACACAGCGUGUGAGUGGCAGGAAGGGAGAAAGGCUUCAUCUGUAUUUACAGCCACUCCCCAUCAAUCACAUGACCACCUGAGCUUUGCCUCUUGUCAGAUCAGCAGCAGCAUUAGAUUCCCACAGGAGCACGAACCUUACUGUGAGCUGGGCAUGUGAAAGAUCUAGGUUUUUUGUUUUUUACAACAACCUAAUGCCUGAUGAUCUGAGGUGAAGCUGAGGCAGUGAUACUAGCUGAGGGAGUGCCUGCAAAUGCAGACUCCUAUUAGCAGCGAGGUUUGACUGCGCAGAGACCAUAAUAAAUCAAUUGCUUACAGAUUGAGAUCAAAAUCCAUCAGUGAGCAGCAAGUGACAAUUAAAUUGCAU
ensembl:lncRNA